rnacentral:rRNA from 1 species
GACGAACGCUGGCGGCGUGCUUAACACAUGCAAGUCGAACGAUGAAGCCGGAGCUUGCUCUGGUGAAUUAGUGGCGAACGGGUGAGUAACACGUGAGUAACCUGCCCUUGACUCUGGGAUAACUGCGGGAAACUGUAGCUAAUACCGGAUACGACCCUCGGAGGCAUCUCCUGGGGGUGGAAAGAACUUCGGUCAAGGAUGGGCUCGCGGCCUAUCAGCUAGUUGGUGAGGUAAAGGCGAACCAAGGCGACGACGUGUAGCCGGCCUGAGAGGGUGAACGGCCACACUGGGACUGAGACACGGCCCAGACUCCUACAGGAGGCAGCAGUGGGGAGUAUUGCACAAUGGGCGCAAGCCUGAUGCAGCAACGCCGCGUGAGGGAUGACGGCCUUCGGGUUGUAAACCUCUUUUGGCAGGGAAGAAGCGAAAGUGACGGUACCUGCAGAAAAAGCACCGGCUAACUACGUGCCAGCCGCCGCCGUAA